CAUGCAAGUCGAGCGAACAGACGAGGAGCUUGCUCCUCUGACGUUAGCGGCGGACGGGUGAGUAACACGUGGAUAACCUACCUAUAAGACUGGGAUAACUUCGGGAAACCGGAGCUAAUACCGGAUAAUAUAUUGAACCGCAUGGUUCAAUAGUGAAAGACGGUUUUGCUGUCACUUAUAGAUGGAUCCGCGCCGCAUUAGCUAGUUGGUAAGGUAACGGCUUACCAAGGCAACGAUGCGUAGCCGACCUGAGAGGGUGAUCGGCCACACUGGAACUGAGACACGGUCCAGACUCCUACGGGAGGCAGCAGUAGGGAAUCUUCCGCAAUGGGCGAAAGCCUGACGGAGCAACGCCGCGUGAGUGAUGAAGGUCUUCGGAUCGUAAAACUCUGUUAUUAGGGAAGAACAAAUGUGUAAGUAACUAUGCACGUCUUGACGGUACCUAAUCAGAAAGCCACGGCUAACUACGUGCCAGCAGCCGCGGUAAUACGUAGGUGGCAAGCGUUAUCCGGAAUUAUUGGGCGUAAAGCGCGCGUAGGCGGUUUUUUAAGUCUGAUGUGAAAGCCCACGGCUCAACCGUGGAGGGUCAUUGGAAACUGGAAAACUUGAGUGCAGAAGAGGAAAGUGGAAUUCCAUGUGUAGCGGUGAAAUGCGCAGAGAUAUGGAGGACACCAGUGGCGAAGGCGACUUUCUGGUCUGUAACUG
rnacentral:rRNA from 1 species